CCUACGGGGGGCUGCAGUGGGGAAUAUUGGACAAUGGGGGCAACCCUGAUCCAGCCAUGCCGCGUGUGUGAAGAAGGCCCUCGGGUUGUAAAGCACUUUCAGUGAGGAAGAACGCCUGGUGGUGAAUACACAUCAGGAAAGACAUCACUCACAGAAGAAGCACCGGCUAACUCCGUGCCAGCAGCCGCGGUAAUACGGAGGGUGCGAGCGUUAAUCGGAAUUACUGGGCGUAAAGCGCGCGAGGUGGCUUGAUAAGCCGGUUGUGAAAGCCCCGGGCUCAACCUGGGAACGGCAUCCGGAACUGUCAAGCUUGAGUGCAGGAGAGGAAGGUAGAAUUCCCGGUGUAGCGGUGAAAUGUGUAGAGAUCUGGAGGAAUACCAGUGGCGAAGGCGGCCUUCUGGACUGACACUGACACUGAGGUGCGAAAGCGUGGGUAGCAAACAGGAUUAGAUACCCCUGUAGUC
rnacentral:rRNA from 1 species